rnacentral:lncRNA from 1 species
CCGGCGGGGUGGGGGCAGCGCGGGCGGAGACGUGCCGAGGUGUGAGCGCUGCCCUGGGUGCGGGUGGCACAGCGAGAUGCGGAUGCGAGCAGGGCUGAGCGUAUUGAGCGCUGCCAGGCGGUGCUUUGAUGUGUUCUCCUAACUGGAGGCCAGCAGCUGUGAAGACAAGCAUCACCUCGGACUGUAAUACCUGAGGAGUUCCAACAGAGCAGAGUGGGUGUCCAUCGAGCAAAAAAGGCAGUGGUGCAGCAGAGAGAAGCGGUGCAUGUCCUGCACACAGGGAUUGUUCAUUCAGAAGUUACAGAAAGGGGAAGGAACCGGGGGCAACCCAGAGAGCUCUUAUCUCAUCGUGGAUCUUCUGGUGAGACACCUCAUCUCCUUACGCAUCUGAAAGCGGAGCGGGGAAGCACAGAGCGGGAUCUCACCAAAGCAUUCCUAUUCCUAUUCCUAGCGAGGCUUUCCCCUGGGGAAACACACAGCAGAACUAUUUCCCUGCCACUGUAGCUUUUGCAAUAAGCAGCACGUGCUCAAUGCACACGAUAUGUGUGCUUAUCGGGGUCUGGGGGGCUGUGAGCUGUGCUCACUCAGCUCCAGGUUCCACUGGGAAAACACAGAUAACGGUGAGAAGCAUAAACAAAAGAACUGCUCAGUAUGUCUUACACAAACACACAAGGGAGCAAUAGGGCUCCAAGUAGAUUACGGUUUAACAAAGCUAUCGCUCAGAACAGUUGAAGGUAUCGAAACCCUUUAGAAUUUGCUGCAAUCUGAACAAUCGCUUCACCAAAAGUCAGAUUAUGUGUGUAUGCCAAUCUCACAAUCUUAUCCACUUCUCACAUGCUGAGGUGUCUUUGACUUUUACCUCCAAGGACUUAAGCUAGCUAGAGCCAACCCAGUGACUGCUUGGCUUCACUGCUGAAGCCAUCCUCACCCAAGCAGAGCAGAAGAAUGGAGGCUGCAGUGGAAUCAGUAGGAAUUUAUCCUCUACAGAACUCCUGGAGAGAGUCAGGGAGGAUUCUCAGCUCUCCUGCAACUGUAAUAGCCUUUACUUUUUCAUAUACUGAACACGUCUGGGAUGUGUGAUUUUACACAAUGAGUGCAGGGGAUAUUUAAGACAUAAGCAGGCUUACCAGAGGCCCAAUGCUGAGCUCCUUGCAUCUCAUGCUAGUUUCAGGAAUUAGUACUAAGGAACUAAACAAAGCCAAUGAGAUCUCAAAAAUAUCCACACUAACGAAUACUGCAUUUAGUACAUCAUGAUGCAGCUCCCAGGCACACUUCUUACAAUUUACAAAUCCAUCAAAAGGGUUAUGCCAAACUUUCUGCUGCAGGAAAUACAGCUUUGAUGCUUUAGCUAUUCAGGUAAUGGAAACCUAAAAACCCUUCAAAGAACCCCAAACACUCAUCAAUGCAGAAACUGAUCCCUGAUAACAGGUUUGGGUAAAAUCAGCUUUAAAAAGCAGUUUCAUAAGAAAACAUGCAGCAGGAGAAGGGCUGCUAGCACUUUCACUUCCCUCCAAGGCAGAUGGAGGCUCAGCAAUGAGUCUUUCAGGUUAUCACAUAUGGUGCUAUUCAAGUUCAGGACUUUGCACCAAGUUCAGCUGGGGGCUGGUUUGGUUUUUUAGCUGUUGAAAUCAACAGUCAUUAAGCAGAUGCUUAUAUAAAUGUUGAAUACUCAC